GUCCAGCUGACGAGUCGCAAGUAGGACGAAACGCGCGUCCUAAAU
rnacentral:hammerhead_ribozyme from 1 species